UAUCCGGAUUUAUUGGGUUUAAAGGGAGCGUAGGCGGGUGCUUAAGUCAGUUGUGAAAGUUUGCGGCUCAACCGUGAAAAUUGGCAGUUGAUACUGGGUACCUUGAGUGCAGCAUAGGUAGGCGGAAUUCGUGGUGUAGCGGUGAAAUGCUUAGAUAUCACGAAGAACUCCGAUUGCGAAGGCAGCUUACUGGACUGUAACUGACGCUGAUGCUCGAAAGUGUGGGUAUCAAACAGGAUUAGAUACCCUGGUAGUCCACACAGUAAACGAUGAAUACUCGCUGUUGGCGAUACACAGUCAG
rnacentral:rRNA from 1 species